UUGGCGAUCCGGAGACGCCUGCACGCCCUUCUUUACGGAGAUGAUGAAUUGCAAGAUAGCGUCUACAGAACAGAACCGACGGGUCUUCCAAAGAUAGUCGUUCAGCCGAUCAGCUACAAUGAUGCAGAGAUGCUGCUCAGGGAGAUGGGCGGACAGGUGGCGCCGGCGAGCUGGCGCGGCGCCCUCGCCAACGUCUCGUACGCCGUCGGCCCCGGUUUCCGCGGCGACAGCGCCGUCGCGGGCGAGCGCGUUCGCGUCGAGACGAACAACGUCGCGGAACGCGUGAUGAUC